UUUAUAUUUAGUUUAACAUUUUUAUAUUAUUUAGUUUCAGUGUUAGGGACAGAAAAUAGCCUAUGCAUGGGAGACUAGGAGCCAUUUAUUUGUUGUAGGCCUAUAGUUUUUUUUGGUGUCCUUAAUAAAGAGAUGCGCUGCUUUUUUGACACCACACUCCAAAAAGCAAGUCCUGGGGCCUCAUGUACAAAGACUUGCGUUGAAUUCAUACUAAAACAUUGCGUACGGACAAAGCCAUAAAUGUGCGUACGCACCAAAAAAAUCUGAUGUAUGAAUCUCUGCGUACGCAGCAUUCCACAUACAUUCUCUUUGUACAUCCCAAUCAACGCGAAAUUGAGCGCACAUGCACGAGCACCACACCACACCCUGUCUCCUCCCUCAAUUAAAUCAAUUUAAAUAUGGUAAUUAGUCCAAUUUGGCAAAAGAAACCUGCAAGAACAUGGCUAAAGCAAGCAAGAAACGAAAUUUCACUGAAAACGAAUUAGAGGUGCUACUAUCAGAGGUAGAAACAAGAAAAAAUAUUUUAUUUGGAAAUCUGUCCUCUGGAAUUAAUAACAAAAGAAAGAAAAAAGAGUGGGCAAGUUUGUCAGAUGCCGUCAACGCGGUGGGAUCUGAGAGUCGCACCGUAAAUGAACUGAAGAAGAAAUGGUCAGACAUAAAGGUGGAAGUUAAGCGGAGAACUGCUGCGCACCGACAAAGUGUGGGCAGAACAGGCGGUGGUACAGGGACCGAUGAACUUGCACCCUUUGAUCAGAGAGUUGCCUCUAUUGUAGGAGACACGUUAAUCUCUGGAAUCGUAUCCGCUGAUGUAGGAGACUCGGAUAUACUACAGGACUGCCAGCAAGGAACCGCAGGAACGUCCACUGGCACGCACUCAGUGUCCGCACCACCUGAGCAGCCAGAGCCCAUUCAGUCCAGCGUCUCCCGUGUCUCUAAUGUUCCCCCCAGUGCUGAAGCCCGUCCAUCUGGCCGUGUCUUGACGCAUGCUGUUCUGGAGUCACAACAACAAAUUGUUAGGGCCAUUGAAGAAAUGAACAGUCACCUUAAAAAUGUCACUGACGCACUCACAGAAAUAAGCCAUUCAUUAAAAGAAUUGGUCAAAAAAUGAA